GAAAAAGAAAGAAGAGGAAAAGAAAAGAGAAGGGCAUUUGCUCCCCUGGAGCUGAAGUUAGAGGUGGUUGUGGCAUGGAUCACUGAUGUGCUGGGAGACAAACUCGGGUCCUCUACAAGAGCAGUGCACACCUUAACCACUGAGACUUUUCUCCAGCUCUCAAUGAAAACUUUAAGAGCCCCAAAUGCUUGGAGCAACGUAAUUCAAGACUUGAAAGGACACAGACAUAGAAUUUUAAGCAUGCAUGUACCAAACUUGAGCAUGCCCAAUUUCUCAAAACAAAUACUACCAGGGCAUUAACCCACAGAUUAAUCCGACACUGUUAUAGGAGGUGACUAAUAUCCCACUCCCACUGAGGGAAGUAAAUCUAGAGGCUACAAUGAGGGCAGUCCUUUCUCCAAGCUAUCUCACAUUAGAGAGACCUCAAGUUAAUGACUUGGUUUCACAUCUGUGGCUGGGAAAAAAAAUAUCUAGACAAAAAGGAACUUGGUGGACGAAGGGACUAAUAGGCUCAUAAUUCCAGUAACAACCUGUCUUAGUCACUGUUCUGUUGCUGUGAAGGGACAUCCAUAAAGUCUUUAAGAGAAACAAAUGAUCAGACCUUGAAUCUUAAAGGAAAAAAAUAGUAGUAGGGAACAGCUGGACCUUACUCCAGGGGACAGCUGGAUCUUACUCCAGGGGACAGCUGGGCCUUACUCCAGGGAACAGCUGGGCCUUACUCCAGGGAACAGCUGAGCCUUACUACAGGGAACAGCUGGACCUUACUCCAGGUGACAACUGGACCUUACUCCAGGUGACAGCUGGGCCUUACUCCAGGUGACAGCUGGGCCUUACUCCAGGGAACAGCUGGACCUUACUCCAGGGGACAGCUGGAUCUUACUCCAGGGAACAGCUGGGCCUUACUCCAGGGUACAGCUGGGCCUUACUCCCAGUAAUCCCUGCUUCAAGUACCAAGUGCCCAAAAUCGCAGCUACUCUGCUUCUGACUAAUGGCAAAUGUGGCACACUUGCUACCAAAGAUGAACACAGCAGAAUAAACCAACAGCUACUUCAAGUAAGGUGCUACAGGGUCAGGAAGGCUGGAACAGUGGCUCAGUGGUUAAGAGCAAAGACUAGUAGUCUUUCAGAGGACUAAGGUUCAAUUCCCAGCACCCAUAUGGCAGCUCAGAGUUUUCUAACUUCAGCCCUAGGAGAUCUGACUCCUUCUUCUGGCCUUCAGGGGUACCAGGCAUGUUGAUGAUGCACAUACUGACAUGCAAAUAAAAUGCAAUACAUAUAAAUUAAUUUUUGUAUCAUUUGGUGCUUUUUCUACAGUGACAUACAACCAGAAACCUUUCUAUCCUCCUUAAGUACUGUAAGAGGGGAAACUAAUAACUCCUGGGCGUAAGAGACUUCUCUUCAGACACCUACAAACAUCCCCCCCAUUUUCCUCCCCACUGAAGUCUGAAAAGCCUAACUUCUGUGAAGAAGUAUGCCACUUUACUCUUACAGAGCUUACUGCUACCUCAAGCAAGAGAUCAAAUGGCAUAGAGACAUGGCUAGGGGCCUUGCUCAUAUGGUGGGUUUCUCUGUCAUACCUCUGUUCCCCGUUCUGAACCUGUACUUUGGGGACCAUAUUGAUCCUAGCAUCAGAAUGCAGUUGAUAGAAUGUCCUGGAAGACAAAGGUGAGUUAGCAUGCUAAGAUAAUAUUAAUUGGUUAAAUUCGUUACAUUUUUAAUUGUUAAAAGUCAAGUGCUCAGAGACUUCAGACGGUCACAUUUGCACAAAACUGUGUUUUAAAACAGAAGACUGGAUGCUGAGUUGACAAACAGUUAGUUGAAAGGGGUCCAUGGGGAAUACAAGGAAAUGGUGUUUACUGAGUGACUGUGAUGUGCUGGGCACAAGACUUUAGGAGGCUGUUACCAAUAUUUGCCUGUCAUUCAUAGGAACAUGAAGAUGCCCGCGGGCGAGUGCUUUAUGUGUUAAUACACAUCUGAUCAUAGGAGCUAUUCCACAGACCCCGGUACCUCAAAAGGAGUGACGUGGAAGUGGGCGGAGUGCCCAGUGCUUUUAAAUCGUGAUCUCAAGAGACUUCUGUCAUCCCUGGGAGUCUCUAACUCUGGGAUGUUUUACCUGGUUAAGUCAAGGGGUGUUCUCCAUGACUUCAUGCCUUCCUUCUCUGAUACUUCUGAGACUACGUUCCCCUCAGGGGAUCUUUCCCUCACCCUUUACACACUUUCAUUCUCCCUUCAUCCCCUAAACUCCUGCCCCGCACCCUCAUCCUGCUGUAGUGAAAUGUGUCUGCUUUGUGUGGUUUUUCUCUUUUUUCUUUCUUUCUUUUUUUUCCAGGAAAGAAAAUUACUUAUGUCUUCCAAAAACUUUCAAAAAUUUGGACCCAACUACUAAUUACCCCACAUCUGCUUUGUCUCAAAACUGAGCCUGGACAAGGCAGGUAUUAUCUGCAGACCUCUCGGCAAAGCUCUCAGCACCAGAGGAUAGAUGAGCCAUCACCCCAUUAACAGAUUGCACCCAAUUUUGCAGGACUCCCACAGGCGGCCUCACAGCCAGCAAUUUGCUAAGACCUUGUAAGAAGUAAUUGACUCCAACCUUGGUCACACCAAGGGCAACGAAAACAACUAGAACUCUUAAACCAGAGAGGAUAGAAAGGAAAGUCCAGACUGUCCCUGAUUUAUGGUGGAUCUACUUAAGUCUUACCCACUCUAUCAAAGGGCAGAGGUGUAUCCAUGCAACCGGUCUGUUUUUCGCUUUCAGAAAAAUCGCAUAUGAUAUUCAACGCUUUGGGUUGAUGGUUUUGCACAACAGAAGGCUGGAGUGAGUGUUCUGUGCAUAUUUAAGAUAGACUAGGCUAAGCUAUGGCAUGUUGGAACUAAGUGUAUUAAAUGCAUUUUGAUAUGAAAUUUUUGAUUUGGGGUAGGCUUAUUAGGGAUACAACCUAUCAUAAGUCAAGGGAUAUCUGUAAUCCCCAGGUGCAUACAUUUAACAACAACAACAACAACAACGAAGACAGCCCUGCUGAGCUUGGUGGCACACUCUUACAGUGCCAGCAUUUGGAAAGCUAAGCAAAGGGGCUGCAAAUUUUAGGACAGCCUAAUCAACACAGUGCAACACUAUUUCAAACACAACAGCAACAACAAUAACUCAAGGCCCUGCGUAGGUAAAGGAAGAAAGCAACAGUUAAGUGGGGUCUAUAGAACAGGGGACGCUGCUGCACGCAGAACAGAGAACACGACAAAGGUCUCUGGUCGCCCCACCUCACUGCCCUACUCCGUAAAUCUCCAUGACCUAAAAUCUGUCUUUAAGCAUGAACACGAGACCUGGCAUGCAGUUCUCCUCACAUCUGGACCUCAAGCCACCUGCGUCUACAAGGUAAGCAGAAUGGGACUGAAUUCCAACCUUUCCAAAACCUGAAGACUUAUAUCUGAGCCACUCUUGCAAACACAAUCCAGAGAGACAGUUCGCAGAUUUGUUUAAGGAGCAGUGACAAUUCGGAUCCCAGAUUCACUCUCAGGCUCUGAUCUAAUCCUCUCUCAUUUAUGCAUUUAAAAGAAAGGCCAAGCAUAUGUUAGAAAAAAAGUUCAAAUCUUUUAUAGAAGGU
rnacentral:lncRNA from 1 species